CCCUUCUGGCAGAAAAAGCCAUACCUGCAACAACAAUGAGGAGAAAACAUCAAUAACUUCCGAGAAGCUGGUCUGAGCCACUUGAAACCAAAAGGCUGGCAAUAGGACUUCUAGGUGGAGCCUGAUCAAACUAACUCUAGCAGGUGAAGAGGUUCACAAUCAACACAUCGUAGUAUUGUUAAUUAGGUUCUCAUCUUCCUUAAGUAGGGUGAGGUAUGAGAAAAGAAAGGCGACACCUCACAGAAAACUUGAAUUCACCUUGAAACUUUUUCUACACAUAAGAGUCAAAUAAA